CUGUUUCAAAAAAAAAAAAAAGGAAGUGCCUACCCAAAAUGCUGUAGCAAAAAAUUCUGGACAGUGGUGUGGUUGAACAACAGCCUCUAUCGAAGGCACGAGAGGGGGAAGGGUGUGUGUGCCACACAUUUGCCAUCCCUGACCAAAUGUGACCCCUGCCUUUCCGGUGACUUGCACAUGGCUUGUUGCUAGUUAGUGGCACAGCCGGGACUACACCCUAGGUUUCCUGACUUCCAAGCCAUUGUUCUAACUCAGGAAGCCAUUGCUCUAACUCAGGAAGAAAGCUCCCCUCCUCAGUAAGUGCUGUGGAGCGGUAGCUCUCUCCCAGAGCUUGCUGGUGGGCUCUCACAGGCUCCCAGUGUUCUUAGCCUGUGAGUCCACUCCACUCUUGGCAACCCUUCCUGACAGCCACUGAAAGACUACCUUUGGCAUCUGUCAACACUUAACCUGGGAGGCAGAGGUUGCAGUGAGCCGACAUCGCGCCACUGCAUUCCAGCCUGAGUGACAGAGCAAGAUUCCAUCUCACAGGGUGGGGGGUGGGGAAGCUUGCCAUAUAAAGAAUACUUUCUGCAGGGCCUGUGCGGAGAUCCACUGUCUUGUGGCUGCCUGAGACAUGGCUUCUAUUUGGAGAGGAUCCAGAUGGGACAGGAUAUGUCCCGGUAAGGGUGCCCCCAGUUGCAUCUCCUGGUUCCAUUAUAAGGAGACCAAACAGUUUGGAGGAACUUAAGGAAAGGACAUGACCACAGACCUUCUCUGUAAGUUAGAUAUUGACAGAAUACCAAGAAUGAUCAUGACAGAACAAUAGGGAACAACAAAGCUCACCUGAUUGGGUCAGGUGUAUUAAACACAUAUGUAUCUGAGCAGUUAGCCACCUUAUACUAGAACGUGAAGAACCCAGUGAAAAUGCUCAAAUGUCCUUUUCGGAUUCAAUCAGGACACUAUGUACAAGUCUUGGCUAUGUUACAAUUAAAAGUAAGAGUGAAAGGAGUGACUUUGAAAAGGAAAAGUGGUGGUGUCUGGGACACAAUUGGGGGAUAAAUGUGACAAUAGAAUAUGGGCAGAGGGCAUAGAGACAGGAAUAGAAAAUAAAUUCCACCACAAGUGAAAUAAUGUGUCCAGCAAGGAUUACUUCUUUUAAUUACUCUAGGAAAACACAUUCUGUUCCUCUAUUCUCACACAACGCUUCUGACACCAGAUGCAUGGGUUUUUUCCACAUCAAGCAAUUCUCCAACUCUCCAAACAUUAGCUUGGUGCCCUAAAAUUUAACCCAAUCCUGACUUUAUCCACUUGGAGUUAGCAUUGGAUCUCACAAGUUAAGAGCUCAGUCCCAUAAGAUGCCUCCUACUUUAGAUGCCACUGGCAAGUCUGGGCCUCCAGUACUUCUGACCAACCAGCUAUAAAUUGGAGGUUCCAACCACUCCUUCCUUAGAUUUGAUAAUUUUCUACAAUGGCUCAUAGAACUCAGCAAAUCACUUUAUUUACAUUUAUCAGUUUAUUAUCAUGAGCACAACUCACAAACAGCCAGAUGGAAGUGGUUCAUAGGGCUAGGUGUGGGAGGGGAAAGGUGUGGAGCUUCUGUGGCCUCUGGGCAUGCCACCAUCCCAACACCUCUAUGUAUUCAGCAAUCUGGAAGCUCCUCAGAUUGUAUGUCCGAGAGUUUUUAUGGAGCUUGGUCUCCAGUCCCUGCCCCCUUUCUAAAUGUCAGUGGGUUGGCUGAAAGUGUCAACCUUCUAAUCCCUGGUCUUUCUGUUGCCAGCCCCAUCCUGAGGUCAUGUAGGGGCCCCACCUUAAGUUACCUCAUUAGCAUAAUCUCAGGCAUGAUCAAAGGGUCUCAUUAUGAAAAACAAGGCACUCCUACUUAAGCCAAAAUAGCCUGCUUCAAAGAUGAAUAGCCUCAUCCUUUGCUUUGUUCAAUAUUUAACCAUAUACUUGCUUAAGAGAUCCAGGGGGCAAUCUUGAAAUAAACCAAGUAAGAAAUUGAGAUUGUAGAGUCCUCCUUCUCAGAAAAAUCACUGAGUAGUUAAUCCAUAACCUGGUUGCAGUCAUGGUGAUGCCAGCCAGACCUCCAGGUAGUUGAUUACUGAAGAUAGUCAUCAGAAUGAGACACACAGCCCUGCAUCGUGCACCACUCCUGCUCAUAGUUUCCAUGCCUCCUUUUCCUUUAAAAUCCCUUUGGCUACCCUAAACAUUUGACAUAGUCUUUGAGGCACUAGUCCACCACCUCCUCAGGUUGCCAUCUCUUGAAUAAAUCUGCUUUUCCUUCCACCAACCCUUGUCUCUUGAGUUUUGCUUUCAAGUGGUGAGCAGCUGAACCUGAGUUUUGUAGGAUACAGUAAAUUCCUUUUCAAAGUUUAGCCUGUUAACUUCCUUUAAAAUUCAAGAGGGAGAAAAAUUGUUAAGUACAAUGAGCUCUGUGUUCCUCUUCAAAGAACCAAUAUGUCAGUAUGUUCAGCUUCCCUGUUCUUUGUUCUCCAUCUUAAAGUUUAACUUCCUCGUUCUUUACACCUCCUUGCCUCUAGUUUCAGUAAACAACCCCUUCCUAGCCUCUAUCACCUGUUCUGUCCUUAGGCAUCCUUAGUCACCUGUUCUGUAACUGUCCUUCUUCUGAAACUCAUCACCCCGCCACUCCGGCUGGUACCCUCGCUCUCUUUAAAAUAGCCAAUCGGAAUUAGCUUAGACUGUGAGGUCCAACCCUAGCCAAUAGGGGAAAGACACAGCAGUAGGGACUAGCUGCGGGGUUAGGAAUAAGACCCCCUUCCCUUCCCCUUCCCGUUCCCCUUCCCCUUCCCCUUCCUCUUCCCC